rnacentral:rRNA from 1 species
CUUAGUGGCGAACGGGUGAGUAACGCGUGAGUAACCUGCCCUGGAGUGGGGGACAACAGUUGGAAACGACUGCUAGUACCGCAUAAGCCCACGGCCCGGCAUCGGGCUGAGGGAAAAGGAUUUAUUCGCUUCAGGAUGGACUCGCGUCCAAUUAGCUAGUUGGUGAGGUAACGGCCCACCAAGGCGACGAUUGGUAGCCGGACUGAGAGGUUGAACGGCCACAUUGGGACUGAGACACGGCCCAG